rnacentral:snRNA from 1 species
AUCGCUUCUCGGCCUUUUGGCUAAGAUCAAAGUGUAGUAUCUGUCUUAUCAGCUUAAUAUCUGAUACGGGUCCUAUUUGGACCCAGAUAUUAAUCUUAUUUUUGGCCAUGCGGCGUAGUGCUUGCGGUUUACCUCACCUAUGCCACGGGUUGGCCCGGUAUUGACUGCCUCCGGGAUCGGCCCCACCCCC